rnacentral:miRNA from 1 species
AUAGGGGACACGUUCAAGCCG